GACUGCUGGUCAGAACGGCGAGAACGGCGGACUGUAAAUCCGUCGGCUUACGCCUACGCAGGUUCGAAUCCUGCAUCUGCCACCC
rnacentral:tRNA from 1 species